rnacentral:lncRNA from 1 species
UGAAAGCUCUGGGGGUGUCACCCAGUCCCACAAGCCUGCAUCCCCUGCAGUGGAGAUGGGCUCAGCUCCUGGACGUGCCACAGACAGAAAGCAUAACAUACACUCGCCAGGAAGAGCCUCUGCCUGAGGAUGAGUUCCUGGUGGUGCUGCGCUGUGUGGGUGAGCCCCUCCCUGUCCCUGCCUCCACCCUCAGACCAGCGGCAGGCCUGGGACAGAUGCUGACAGGACUCAGGUGUCUGACUCCUGCUAAUCAUUCCAUUUAAAAUUCCAACUUAAAAAUUAAACCUAAAAAAGAUUGUA